rnacentral:lncRNA from 1 species
GACUGGAUGCUAAAUAAUAGACUUGAAAAUCAGAUUAACUCUGUUUGAUAGAUUGUAAUUACCAUGAGAGAAUACAUAUUUUUUUAAACCUAUAUUGAUCAUUUUUAAAAUUAAAAGGCAUAGAAGUUAAUUUUUUAUCCAGCUUUUAAGGCUUUAGUUUUCCACAUUAUUUUUAUACCUCAGUUGCUUUUCUUUUCCUUUGUUUCAUACUUUUCCUCCAUUUAUCUUUAAGUCAACAUUUUGGCAAAUAAAGAACAGAGAUAUUUAAGCACAUGAUUCAAAUAAAAAAUAACUUGCUUAUUUUUGUUUGUUGUUAAUGUCUUAUUCUGUUUUUACAGUCAAUUAUAGCCUCUGAUCUUCUGCUACCUGGGUGGCAUCCUGUUUUCCUAUUUUAUAACUGUAUUUAUAUAGUAACAUUUUAGUUUUUUGUUUUCUUAUAUCUAUAUUAGAUUGUCUAUGAUUCCUCUUUUCUCCUUACAGAACUUUCUUUUUUUUUCUUUUUGAGAUGGAGUUUCGCUCUUGUUGCCCAGGCUGGAGUGCAACGGCACGAUCUCAGCUCACCGCAACCUCAGCCUCCCAAGUUCAAGCAAUUCUCCUGCCUCAGCGUCCUGAGUAGCUGGAAUUACAGGAUUUUGGAAGCAUUGCCUUCUACAGAAUCCACAGUAGUCCGAAGCUCUUCUACGGUUUUUGUCAAACUUUGAUUUUCCAUCUCUAGCUUCAAUAAUCUACUUGAUGUCAACUCAUUCACCUCAUGGCCCAGGGAUUUCUGGGGUGCUAUAAUAUUGAAAAAUACACCAUUGUAUUUACUCUUUACUGUUUUUACUAUGUUUACUCUUUACUAUUUAAAAAGUUGAGUGUAUAUGCAUUGCAUCAUCUGAUCCUUAACUUUAUUAAAAAUUCAAUGAGGUUAUAUAAGAUAAACAAGAUAAAAGAAGUAAAUCUUUUUUUUCCUUUUCUUUUUUUCUUUUUUUUAAAGAGACGGGGUCUCUCUCUGUCACCCAGGCUGGAGUGCAGUGAUGUGCUCCUAGCUCACUGCAGCCUCAAACGCCUGGUCUGAAGGGAUCCUCCCACCUCAGUCUCCCAAGCGGCCGGGACUGCAGGUACAGCCAGCUAAUUUUUUUAUUUUUUAGUAAAGACUGGGUCUCUGUUACUUAGGCUGGUCUCGAACUCCUGAGCUCAAGCAAUCCUCCUGCCUUGGCCUCCCAAAGUGCUGGGAUUAC